rnacentral:rRNA from 1 species
UACGUAGGUGGCAAGCGUUGUCCGGAUUUACUGGGCGUAAAGAGCGCGCAGGCGUCGUGCAAGUCGCGUGUGAAAGCCCCCGGCUCAACUGGGGAGGGUCACGCGAUACUGCUCGACUCGAAGGCAGGAGAGGGAAGUGGAAUUCCCGGUGUAGUGGUGAAAUGCGUAGAUAUCGGGAGGAACACCAGUGGCGAAGGCGACUUCCUGCUGUUCUUGACGCUGAGGCGCGAAAGCUAGGGGAGCGAACAGG